rnacentral:rRNA from 1 species
AUACAUGCAAGUCGAGCGGACAGAAGGGAGCUUGCUCCCGGAUGUUAGCGGCGGACGGGUGAGUAACACGUGGGUAACCUGCCUGUAAGACUGGGAUAACUCCGGGAAACCGGAGCUAAUACCGGAUAGUUCCUUGAACCGCAUGGUUCAAGGAUGAAAGACGGUUUCGGCUGUCACUUACAGAUGGACCCGCGGCGCAUUAGCUAGUUGGUGAGGUAACGGCUCACCAAGGCGACGAUGCGUAGCCGACCUGAGAGGGUGAUCGGCCACACUGGGACUGAGACACGGCCCAGACUCCUACGGGAGGCAGCAGUAGGGAAUCUUCCGCAAUGGACGAAAGUCUGACGGAGCAACGCCGCGUGAGUGAUGAAGGUUUUCGGAUCGUAAAGCUCUGUUGUUAGGGAAGAACAAGUGCAAGAGUA